UUCUAUUUUUGGUUAAAAAUUAAUCGAUUAACCGAUUUAAUCGAUUUAACCGAUUUAACCGAUUAACCGAUUAACCGAUUAACCGAUUAAACCGAUUUAACCGAUUAACCGAUUUAACCGAUUUUAAAUCACUACAUAGUUAAAAAAAUUACAUAAGUCUUUGAAUCACUACAUAAUUAAAAACAUUACAUAAGUCUUUGAAUCACUACAUAAUUAAAAACAUUAUGUAAGUCUUUAAAUCACUAUAUAAUUAAAAACAUUACAUAAGUCUUAAAAUUAUCACAUAAUUAAAAUGUAAGAAUUUAAUAUUCUCCAUUUAUAUCAAUUUCUUCUCUCCAAAAAAUCUCCAUUUGCAUUAAACCUACAAAAAAAUUAUGUGCAAAAAUUUAGCAUAUAAUAGAAAUAUACGGAUUUUAAAAAAAUUAAUUAAUAUAAACAAACGAAUAGAUUAUAAGUUAACAAGAAUAAGAUAGUAAGCAUACCCUUCAAUUUUUUGUUGUGGUUCACCGAGAGAAACAUGUGUUGGCACACUCAAUUGACUACAAGUACUAUGAAGUGGAGGCUUAUACUCAUCAAACAAUUCAUACAAAGAUUCCUUCAAUUUUUGCAUCAUUUCACAAGCUUUUUCAGAACUAGACAUUUCACUAAGUGCAAAUUCAAGAUACUUUAGUUUUUGUCUAGGAUCUAAAAUACAAGCAACAAACAUAAGCAAAUUCAUCUUAUCAAUAUCACCCCAAUUAGCCAUAAUAAUUACUGCUUUCAUAAACUAGAAAGCCAUAAAUUCAAAAAGUGGAAUUACUGCUUUCAUAAACUAGAAAGCCAUAAAUUCAUAAAGUGGAAUUACUGCUUUCAUAAAUUCAUAAAUUCAUAAAGCCAUAAUAAUUAAAGUAAAAUAAAAGAUAUUUGUAAUUAAACACAUGGUUGAUUAUGCAUUAAUCAAUUAGUAAAAGAAAAAAAAAACCUAAGUGUCACAGUAAUUCAAGUUAAACUAUUGGUUGCAUAUAAUAAAAAGACAACGAUAUUUUAUAAUUUGAGUGCUAGCAAAAUAGAGACAGAGGGAUUAAUGGCAAUUACGAUGGGUUGGAACUUGGAAGAUGGUCAAAAAAUAAAUGAAUACAUAAAUAUGAAACAAAAUCAGAAAGGAUAACGCAAACAAAAAGUAGAAUUAAAAAUUCAUAUUUAAAAAUAACAAGGAACAGGAACGGAAGAGAAAACUUAAGCCUUCUCUCUCUCACGAAAGUAUAGCAUAAAACAACAACAAACUAACUCACAGACCUUAUCAAUAAAUUUCAAAGACAGCAGGGAGCAGAUGAGCAGUAGGCGGAGAGCAAGGAGCAGAUGAGCAGUAGGCGGAGAGCAAGGCAGCAGCAGCAGGCUAUUAGCUGUUCUGUUUUAGUUUUAGGGUUUUAGACUUUUAGUAAUUUUUAUUUUUCAGUUGUUUGUUUUAUUGGGUUAGUAAUUGGUAAAUGGUAAUUGGGUUUGGGUAGACUUUAGUUUAUUGGGUUGGUAAAUGUUAAUUGGGUUUGGGUAGACUUUAGUUUGUUGGGUUGGUAAAUGGUAAUUGGGUUGGGUAAUUGGGUUUAUUAAUUUUUUUGGUUUAACCGAAAAAAAUCGGUUAACCGACCGGUUUCGAACCGAUUUAACCGUUAACCGAAAAAAUAAAAAAAAAUUAACCGACCCCCGACCGAAUUUUUUCGGUUAACCGAUCGAUUAACCGAACUCGGUCGGUUAACCGAAAAAAAUCGGGUUAACCGACUUAUGCACAGCCCUACUAUCCC
rnacentral:lncRNA from 1 species